rnacentral:rRNA from 1 species
AUUGAACGCCGGCGGCAUGCCUUACACAUGCAAGUCGAACGGCAGCACGGGAGCAAUCCUGGUGGCGAGUGGCGAACGGGUGAGUAAAGUAUCGGAACGUGCCCAGUCGUGGGGGAUAACGUAGCGAAAGUUACGCUAAUACCGCAUACGAUCUAUGGAUGAAAGCGGGGGAUCGCAAGACCUCGCGCGAUUGGAGCGGCCGAUAUCAGAUUAGGUAGUUGGUGGGGUAAAGGCUCACCAAGCCGACGAUCUGUAGCUGGUCUGAGAGGACGACCAGCCACACUGGGACUGAGACACGGCCCAGACUCCUACGGGAGGCAGCAGUGGGGAAUUUUGGACAAUGGGCGAAAGCCUGAUCCAGCCAUGCCGCGUGCAGGAUGAGGGCCUUCGGGUUGUAAACUGCUUUUGUACGGAACGAAAAGGUUUGGCCUAAUAAGCUGAGCUCAUGACGGUACCGUAAGAAUAAGCACCGGCUAACUACGUGCCAGCCGCCGCGGUAA